GUCCACGCCCUAAACUAUGUCAACUAGUUGUCGGGAAAGCAAUUUCUUGGUAACGAAGCUAACGCGUGAAGUUGACCGCCUGGGGAGUACGGUCGCAAGAUUAAAAACUCAAAAGGAAUUGACGGGGGCCCGCACAAGCGGUGGAUGAUGUGGAUUAAUUCGAUGCAACGCGAAAAACCUUACCUACCCUUGACAUGCCCGGGAGCCAGACGAGAGUUUGGUGUGCUCGAAAGAGAGCCGGGACACAGGUGCUGCAUGGCUGUCGU
rnacentral:rRNA from 1 species